rnacentral:rRNA from 2 species
GGCACAAGGGAGCUUGACUGCGAGACCUACAAGUCGAGCAGGGACGAAAGUCGGGCUUAGUGAUCCGGUGGUUCCGCAUGGAAGGGCCAUCGCUCAACGGAUAAAAGCUACCCCGGGGAUAACAGGCUUAUCUCCCCCAAGAGUCCACAUCGACGGGGAGGUUUGGCACCUCGAUGUCGGCUCAUCGCAUCCUGGGGCUGUAGUCGGUCCCAAGGGUUGGGCUGUUCGCCCAUUAAAGCGGUACGCGAGCUGGGUUCAGAACGUCGUGAGACAGUUCGGUCCCUAUCCGUCGUGGGCGUAGGAAAUUUGAGAGGAGCUGUCCUUAGUACGAGAGGACCGGGAUGGACACACCGCUGGUGUACCAGUUGUCUUGCCAAAGGCAUCGCUGGGUAGCUAUGUGUGGAMGGGAUAAGUGCUGAAAGCAUCUAAGCAUGAAGCCCCCCUCAAGAUGAGAUUUCCCAUAGCGCAAGCUAGUAAGAUCCCUGAAAGAUGAUCAGGUUGAUAGGUCAGAGGUGGAAGCGUGGCGACAUGUGUAGCUGACUGAUACUAAUCGAUCGAGGACUUAACCAAA